AUUGAACGCUGGCGGCAGGCCUAACACAUGCAAGUCGAGCGGAUGAAGGGAGCUUGCUCCUGGAUUCAGCGGCGGACGGGUGAGUAAUGCCUAGGAAUCUGCCUGGUAGUGGGGGAUAACGUCCGGAAACGGGCGCUAAUACCGCAUACGUCCUGAGGGAGAAAGUGGGGGAUCUUCGGACCUCACGCUAUCAGAUGAUCCUAGGUCGGAUUAGCUAGUUGGUGGGGUAAAGGCCUACCAAGGCGACGAUCCGUAACUGGUCUGAGAGGAUGAUCAGUCACACUGGAACUGAGACACGGUCCAGACUCCCACGGGAGGCAGCAGUGGGGAAUAUUGGACAAUGGGCGAAAGCCUGAUCCAGCCAUGCCGCGUGUGUGAAGAAGGUCUUCGGAUUGUAAAGCACUUUAAGUUGGGAGGAAGGGCAGUAAGUUAAUACCUUGCUGUUUUGACGUUACCAACAGAAUAAGCACCGGCUAACUUCGUG
rnacentral:rRNA from 1 species